GGUAGCGUGGCCGAUGGGUCUAAGGCACUGGCUUUAAGCUCCAGUCUCUUUGGGGGCGUGAGUUCAAAUCCCACCAUUGCCA
rfam:Danio rerio chromosome 6, GRCz11 reference primary assembly.